CACGCAGGCGGUCUGUCAAGUCGGAUGUGAAAUCCCCGGGCUCAACCUGGGAACUGCAUUCGAAACUGGCAGGCUAGAGUCUUGUAGAGGGGGUAGAAUUCCAGGUGUAGCGGUGAAAUGCGUAGAGAUCUGGAGGAAUACCGGUGGCGAAGGCGGCCCCCUGGACAAAGACUGACGCUCAGGUGCGAAAGCGUGGGGAGCAAACA
rnacentral:rRNA from 1 species